ensembl:lncRNA PDK4-AS1 PDK4 antisense RNA 1
GAGGCUCAGCUACUCACUGUGUUCUUGCGUGAGUCUCCUGGCUGUUAGGAAUUCUGCUGCUCAAGUGGAAAAAACAGAUUGCAAAGUACUUCAUAGAUCACCCUGUACUGAGUAUGGCAAACUGAUCAACAGCCUACUUACUGCUACAUUUAUAUUAUUUAAAAUAACUGCCAGCUUUUUUAAAAGCUCAGCUGAUUCCGCAGGAUGUUGUGGCUGUGAACUGGGAAGCCUGCCAUGCUAUUAUUUUGAAAAGUGCUGUGCAAACAGUGUUCCUCUCAGAUGGUUUCCAGAGUUAGUUCCUUACAAGCAUUUCCUCUUGAAACAUCGGGAAUCUAAAUAAAGAGAAAGGUGUCUAAUGGUCUAGUCUACCAACUUCACUAUGCUGAUUUAUGAAAGAAUUGCUGAAACCCAGUGAAUAAUAGCAUUUGCCCUUCUUUCUCAAAAAAGCAGCAUUUGCUUUCUUCUGGCAAGGAAUAAUUAAGCUAAUUUCUCCAUGAACCUUGGAAAAAGUGGCAACGAAUAAUGGAUUUGUCCCUCAAAGAACAUUUCAAGCAAACAUCUUAUCAGCUACAAAUUCAUUUGAGGCAGUUCCAGGUCAGCCACAGGCAAUUUUUCUCAUUAAAAUACUGUUUAAACUGUUGUAUCCAGAUGACACAGGAGACAUAUCAGACAAACAACACCUGCAAGAAGAAUUGGUGAAGUAUUGACUUUUCAUCAAUCAAAAAGUUUACUAAGCAGAUGAAAAUAAUUUGCCUUCACAGUGACAUUUUCCUGACGUCUUGCUAGUACUUAAAGGCAUUGUUUUUUCUUUAACACCCAAACUUUAAUUACCAGAAAAGGUUAGCAUCAAAACAAAGGACAUGUUGGUAAUUUAGAGGCCAUAUCAGAAAAAUAAAUUCAUUUUGGUUUGAAUGAAUUUUUUGUCUUGUCUCCUUCUCCCCCUUUGGCCACAUCCCCCUCCCCCACAUGACCACGCUUUCCUGUGUUCAUGGUCAUUCUGUUAACAAUGUAUAGAUUUGGAGAUUUCUUUCUAGUUUUAUAAGUUUUUCUAAGUUUUAUACGUCUUAUCACUAAGUGCAACUAUUCAGUUUAAAAAAAGAAGGAGUAUUUUGUAGCAGAGAAGUAUGAGUUGAGGACGUAGGAAUCCUGUUUUACAUUUCUUUUGCUAUUUACUCACUGAAAGCCCUUGGGGGAAAAUUAUUUCAUCUCCCUACAUCUCAGCUUCCAUACUGACAAAAAUUUUAUUGUUCUAGAUGACCUCUAGGGUGCAUUCCACUUUUCAAAUCUCCUUGGUUGCUCAUUAUUGAUUUUAAAAUUCUCACAGAAUGAGUCUGAAUAAUUGUUGCAUUUCCCUUAUUGAGGAAGUAUCUUUGAUUAGAGUUCAUUUAGCAUAAA